rnacentral:rRNA from 1 species
ACGCUGGCGGNAGGCCUAACACAUGCAAGUCGAACGGUAACAGGAAGAAGCUUGCUGCUUCGCUGACGAGUGGCGGACGGGUGAGUAAUGUCUGGGAAACUGCCUGAUGGAGGGGGAUAACUACUGGAAACGGUAGCUAAUACCGCAUAANGUCGCAAGACCAAAGAGGGGGACCUUCGGGCCUCUUGCCAUCGGAUGUGCCCAGAUGGGAUUAGCUAGUAGGUGGGGUAACGGCUCACCUAGGCGACGAUCCCUAGCUGGUCUGAGAGGAUGACCAGCCACACUGGAACUGAGACACGGUCCAAACUCCUACGGGAGGCAGCAGUGGGGAAUAUUGCACAAUGGGCGCAAGCCUGAUGCAGCCAUGCCGCGUGUAUGAAGAAGGCCUUCGGGUUGUAAAGUACUUUCAGCGGGGAGGAAGGGAGUAAAGUUAAUACCUUUGCUCAUUGACGUUACCCGCAGAAGAAGCACCGGCUAACUCCGUGCCAGCAGCCGCGGUAAUACGGAGGGUGCAAGCGUUAAUCGGAAUUACUGGGCGUAAAGCGCACGCAGGCGGUUUGUUAAGUCAGAUGUGAAAUCCCCGGGCUCAACCUGGGAACUGCAUCUGAUACUGGCAAGCUUGAGUCUCGUAGAGGGGGGUAGAAUUCCAGGUGUAGCCGUGAAAUGCGUANAGAUCUGGAGGAAUACCGGUGGCGAAGGCGGCCCCUGGACAAAACUGACGCUCANGUGCAAANCUUUGGGACAACAGGAUUANAUACCUGGUAGGUCCACGCCGUAAAACGACGUAGAGUUAGGAGGUUGUGCCCUGGGAGGCGUGNUUUCCGGNGAUAACGCGUUAAGUCGACCGCCUGGAGAGUAACGACCGCAAGGNUAAAAAUCAAAUGAAUUGACGGGGCCCGCACAAGCGGUGGAGCAUGUGGUUUAUUUGGAUGCAACGCGAAGAACGGUACAUGGUUUUGAGAUCCACGGAAGUUUUCAGAGAUGAGUAUGUGCAUUCGGGAACGGUGCGACAGGUCCUGCAUGGAUGUCGUCAGCUCCGUGUUGUGAAAUGUUGGGUUAAGUCCCGCAACGAGCGCAACCGUUAUCUCCUUAUUGCCUGCGGUCCGACCGGGCAACUACAAGGAGACUGCCAGUGAUUCACUAGUGGAAGGUGGGGNUGACAGUCAAGUCAUCAUGACCCUUAGGACCAGCGCUACACACCUGUUACNAUGGCGCAUACAAAGCGAUGGGACCUCGCGAGAGCAUAGCGGACCUCAUAAAGUGCUUCGUAGUCCANAUUGGAUUAUGCAACUCGACUCCAGGAAGUCGGCAUCGCUAGUAAUCGUGGAUCAGAAUGCCACGGUGAANACGUUCCCGGUCCUUGUACACACCGCCCGUCACACCAUGGGAGUGGGUUGCAAAAGUAGUAGGUAGCUUAACCUUCGUGAAACGUUGACCANUAUNUGAUUUUUGAACGGGGGUNA